rnacentral:misc_RNA from 1 species
ACACCGUGUUAAAGUUAUUCGCGGACUAAGAAUAGUUACAAAACUGAUAGACAUAAUUAUACAACGAAACGUUACUAUUUAAGAUCAUUUACCGUCAAGUAAUUUAGUUUGUACUGGAUCUUUUUGUGCCGCUCCUCAUUCAAGUUCAACAGCAACCAUAACAACCAUAAAAUCUCCAACAUAUUUAAAGUACCAUGAACAGAUAUUUUCUAUUAAAAGCAACUGAAAAACCCGAAAUAAAUUUGGAAUUUAUACUUUGUUUCGGGGUUCCGGUUAAGCAGUAUUAGUUUUAAUCAUGAUAUCAGCACCCUUGAUUUAAAAUACAUGAUCUGUAGGGACAUUAUUUAUUGUAAAUUAAAAAUGCUUUCUAGCGCUCCUCUGAUUAUAUAUUGAACCAGAACAUGUAUCAAAAACAAUUAUCUGUUCUGAUUAUAAAAGGUAUAAAGAAAUUAAACAUUUUACAGUCGGCAAAACGAAAGGAAUGCAUUAAAACGUAUAACGUCUAACAAUCCACUGCUAUGAAUUGAAUAGGUGAACUUUUUAAGAAUGAUAACACUCAUCUGACACACAUAUUUCGCUAUCGUUAUAUAAUGUCCUAUAAAACUGAUAACAAGGGUAUCUUUAUGUGAUUUAAAUAUGCAGAACGUCACGUAGUUCAAUCAAGUUAGUUUUUAAGACCUCUUAAUAUGGAGAAGUUCGAAAAAUUGAGAAAUAUUGCAUUACCAUUAGAGUCCAGUUAUUUCCAUGAUACCGCUUCUGUUACUGAACUUGAAGCACGCGUUAAAUUGGAGAUAGAUUUAAAUAAUGGCGGACAAAGAACUAAAGAUUCUACACAGAAAUUGGAAUCUUCGAAGUUCCUUGCAUUUGCAGAAAAACUGUUCAGUUUGGAUGACAAGGAAUUGAAUCGUGUCAUAGAAGAUGUUGAUUCAACACACAAGAUAAAUGUCCAGGACCCCAAGACGAAAGAUGUUGUUACUGCAACAGAGACUCUAGUAAACGGUAUUUUGCAAGCAGCUGGUGAAAUUGAUGAACGGUUCAAAACGGUAUGCAUUUAUAGCGGAAGUUUCUAUGAUGACCUUAAAGUAGGGAGCGUUGAUGAGUUUGAUUUUGUAGCUCGAAUCGAAUCACUGUCAAAGAGAGGUGCUCUUGAAGCAAGGCGUUCUGAACGUAAGCGAGGUUUUGUUUAUCUGGUAGUAAAUGAUGAGAUGCUGAGGGACACCUUCAAAGAAUUUUUAACUUCACCAGAUGAUGAUCCAUGUUUAGCAGAGAGUGAUGUUAUAUUGAAUGUUGAUUCCUUUCAGGACUAUUUUAUCGAGCUGCUAUUUUCUGCGAUUCAGUCGAUUGAUAUUCCAGACAGUUUUAUUCCAGUUGAUAAAUUGAAUGAUGGUGAAGUAACGGAACGUUCCUGGUGCCCGAUUCGUCACGGUCCGUGUGCAACAUUAUAUCUUACGUACAAAUGUCAAACAACUCCUGAUGUUGUAAACAUCGACAUAGAUAUAGCACCGAGUAUUGCUUAUCCUGGAAUAGAGUAUGCGCCACCAGUUGUUGAAAAACUGACAAGUUUGGAACCAAACAAUGAAUUUAUUGAUCUCGUAAAGGAUAUUAGUUUCUCAUGUGAGGUAAUGCUUGUACCAUUCCGCUUUGACUACACAAAACCAUCAAGUAAAUCGUCGUGGCAUCAUUAUUACAGUGACACUUGGAGAGUCUCCCAUUCUUCUAUUGAGAAGGCAAUAUUUUCGUUAUACAAGCCUGACAGUGUUGAGAAAAAGCUCUGUCGGAUACUGAAAGUUCUAAAGGAAAUAUAUUUACAGGGAACACUUGAAACAGAACAAGAAAGUAAUUCGCGACCUUUAAAGCUUCAAGAACCACCUAGUACACAACUUAAUUGCUGUACCAUAGAGGCGGUGUCAAACGCUUUCGAAGAACAUGAAUACGAAACAGAUACAGAAUCGGAAGAUACAGAGGAAUAUGAAACUUUUGAAGAUGAUUCAGAAGAAGAAGACGUUGACGGAGAUACGUGCUAUGAUCAGUGUCUAAUGCAAGACGAGGACUUUAAUACCGAAGAAAACAAACAAACAUAUGCACCACAAAAAAAUGAAGAAUCAGAUAUAUGUGAAAAGCCCCGAACGACCUUGAACACGAGUGAUUUAAGAAAAGUUUCUGCUCAGAAGGAACCUGCUCUAGUACCAGCUUCUUCCAACAUAGAAAAAUAUUUUGAAGUUAUCUACGAUCGCCAGUCAAUGGUUAAUUCACUGCAUCAGGCUGAAGCAUCUACACCAAUACGGGGGAUGAAUACUAGUAGUAAAUCUGAAAAGGUUAAAAAACACUCUCGGAGACUAUCAAGUGAUUAUGAGGCCGCCAAAUCGGAAAAUGUCAAGCAAAUUGAUCAAGUAUCUAGUACCAAUCAGUUAACAUGCCUAAGACCUGUGGAGUCUGUUGAAGAUAUUAAAUCAGAUGACCGUAUCUUACCAAUUAACAUAUAUGCCAGGGAAUGUAAAAGUUCAAAUAUGCCUGCGUCUGAGUUUUGGACAUCCUACGAUUUUGAUUCCAUUGGUACCUCCGAUCCACCAUUGAAUCUUUAUUCUGUGGACGAAAACUUACAAGAACACAAUCAAAGAACACAAAUCUCUUAUCGAGAUUCGAAACCGUUAUUGAAAACAUACAUGAUCAAGAUGUUGUUUCUUGCAAUGAAAACCGCCUAUCCGGACCAAGAAAGCUGGAAGCAAGAUCAACUUUCAUCUCUACUAAAAAUGGCACUAUGUAUGAUUUAUUACGCAUACAACUCUAGGGAAAAGGGUAUACUGAAUUUCUGGUUUCAGGAUCUUAUUGAAAACAGAACCAGAGAUUCGACAUGUGUCGAAGUAUUAUAUUGUCUGGAACACUUAGUGCAAAUUUUAAGCAAAAAGAUUACAUAAUACAGUUGAUUCUAAAGAAUGACACGAUAUACUGUUUCCAGUUUAUAUUGACACUGACGACUCGUUAUAAAUCAACGCUAUGAGGAUAGAGUUGAAGAAUUUUUACGUGAUAUGUUUUUAAUACUUUUCAAGUAUAGAUAGUUACUUUUUAAAAUGACAACAACAGUUACAUAAUACAACUUCGAAAUAGAACAUUAUCACAAAAAAGUUCGGAUACUGAUUAAACCUGACUAGAAGGAGUAAAGGAUAAUAUGUUUAUUUUAUCAAUUUUUGAACAAUCAUUAUAUUAUCAGAGAAACAUUUAGUAAGGCCAGACUAUAUGUUAUCUAGGGCAACGUCGGUUAAGGUUGAUACCAGAUUUCCAUUUAAGGUGUAAUGCAGUUCAGUGCAUAAUACUUAAUGAUAUUGCAAAAUCAGCAGAUCACUGUGUAUGCCUUAUAUAUAUAAACUAUGACACCACUUUAAUAGGCUUGAAAAGAGAUAAACUAAAUCUGAAAUAAGGAAAGUUCAAAACUUUUCUGUUUUCGUCUGUAUAUCUAUUUCACAAACGGUACACAUCUACAAAUAUAAACAAAAUGUAAAUAAAACAAGAUAUAUAGCUAUGCAGCUGCUUCGUUAUGGAUUAUAUUGGACCUUCCCCGAAGCCAAUGCAAGAUUAUUUUUCAAUUUCGAAACAUUGAAAUUAGGGUGUAACGCAUUAUUAAAUUUGAGUCUUUGUUAUUAUAUCUAGGACGUAUGUAAAUAUAUACAUGUUUUAUUUUUUUUAUCAAUAAACGAAUAAAACUCAUAUAUAUAUAAAUGCGUUUUAAGCAGGUAAGUGCAUUAGAUAUUUAUCUGUCAUGACAAUUGUACCUUUAAACACUAUUUCCUAAAUACAGAAACAAAAAAGACACAUAUGGUUGUUUGAAGUCCAAAAGUUCUGCGUCUGCUUUGUUUACAUUUUAUCACUGGAGGUCACGUGGCACAAGUUGUGGAGGAUAACGACUUUUUAUGUACCUAUAAACUUUAGCAUUUGUCCCUGUUUUUUUUCUACCUUUCUGACUAAUACUCAGCCUAUAAGAAGUAAAUAUAGGCUACUUAGUACAGUCCCUGUCACGUUCCCAAACUGGGCAGGAUGUAAUGGGAUGGUAACAAGAAACCCAUGUAAACAUUCACUGCACUAACGUUAGAGUAAUUAAAAAGGGGGAAUGUUUCCUAUGUCAUCACUGUAUCAGCCUGGAAGAGUAAAAAUGAUUUUUUUUUGGACAUUUGAAAUGUUACUUUCUUAUUUUUUAUUUCUGUUGUGAAAAAUUGUAAGAAACAAGAACGGGAAAACCACAUUAAUGACUAUAUUUGGACUUUGAGGUCACGUGAUUCAAGUCCCAUGAUGAUGUGACGUAAUAUCCGCGAAAUUGGGUUUACAGACGGCUGCCAUUAUUUAUUUGACGUGAUUGUUUCUGGCUACUCUCAGAAGAUAUAUAAAUCAAAUAAAAUUAAUUGGAAUAAUGUAUGUGGUGGAGGAUAAACUUAUCUAAUCAGAUUACAUUUUCAAAAACAAAAAAAAAAAAGGAAAACUUAAAGUAAGGGUAUAAUGCUUUGAAGGAGGCGUUGAGAACAAAACACUUUUCCAGAAUCACGAUUCAGUUUGUGCCCUACAAAACAACGUGGUGGUAGGUGAACAUGUAAGUCUAAGAGCUGGUGUUAGCGCUGACCUUCUGUCUAUAAAAUAUAAAUACCAAAAACGAUACGCUAUAUAUUACGCUUGAUAUUUCCCUUUUGUUCAAAGUCAAAGAGGAACCAUCAGAUGUAACGUUACGAUAAUGGUAAUGGAAACAGUGUUCAUCUAUAACUGUCCAGCAACAGUUGUAUAAGCAACAGCUGUAUAAAUUACUGGGAUUCCAAGAUGGGAUCCCAUAUUCGAUUAUAUGGGCUUGGUAAUAUUGGCAGACUACCAAAGUGAUUUCAGAGAAAUCUAUUCCCACUCUGGGUCGAUGUUUUCAAUUAACCGUUUUACUACAUACCAGUUAUAUUUUUCGUAUACAUUAUAUGGUUGACACUAUACAUUUAGUUUAUGUGUGUGCUCGUCCGUUUGUUUCAAAAACUACGGUAUGGCACAUUUGUUGUUUUUCCAUGCUUAUAAAUAUAGAUUAUUGAUUACGUUUAAUAGAUCUUCCGAGUCUACGUGACUUUUACGCUGCGAAAAUCUGGACUAAAUAUGUAAGAUGUUUUAAACUGAUUAAAAUUUAAUAAUAUGAAUAUCAUUAUCAGCUUUUCAGAGGGUUAAACAUCGAGAUAUUAUUGUGUAAAACUGUCCCCAAACGACAUAUGUAGUGUAGUUUUUUUUUUUUUUUUUAUAUAAUAGGCGGUAUGAUUUUAUAAAAAAGCAAAAAGAGAACAUUCGGGUUAAAACGUGUAUCGCUACUACACGUAUGAUAAUCUAUUUUUAGAUUUGUAGUUAUUUCUAUUUUCAGAUUAAUAGGAUUGCAUAGCUGGCUCCUGUCGAUUUUACAAGUAAAAUUUAAGUGCAUAUGAGCACUUUGAAAAAAUAAUAAUUAUUAGAACUAGUUUCAGUAGCUAGAACUGAGUUUCAGUUAUUAAGUGAAAAUUAGUUGUGUAGCAUUGAUUUUCAAAUUAUGACGUAGUCACUUGCAGAUGCGUAUACAUGCUUUCGUUGAGCUAGCUUAAAGUGGAGCCGAAAAUUUCUUUGUCAUUGAGCUUAUUUUCGGAUUUUACAGUGUUACCGAAGUAUGAAACCGUGUAGCAGUUGGUACUAUCGUUUGCAGGGAAUUUUCUGCAGCCAUUUGAAAAUAAGCAAAUUUAGCAAUUUUCGUCAUCAGGUUUCGCGACCGUUAAAGCAGAAAAUUCAGGGCUUGUGAACUGAAAACUAGAUGUUAGACAUGUAUUGCUGAUUGUUUGUAACAAUAUCGGUUAAUACAUGAAUAAGUGAAUUGUGAAUCAAAUUAUCAAUAUAAAUAUGCGAAUUAGAUAAAAAAGAAACUGUAGGAAAUCUACAUGGUAAAGGAGACAUAAAUUUUAGAAUUAAUCCUUAUUAAAUUGUUGAGAGUCUUAUAAAGGGAACCUACUUUUUCGGGUAAGCAAAUCUGAAAAUUGUUUGAAUAAUUUUGAAAAGAUGUGGAAAUAAAAUAUGGAGCAACAAAACUUAGAACAGCAGAGCCACAACAAUAUUGAAUUUCAUCGCUCUCGUCACCUAAGGAAGUAUCGCCUGGUUCAGUGUAAAGCAGUAGAAGAUGGCCUUGUCGAAGUACAGAACGUUUAUCAAGAGGUUACAAUCUCUUACUAUGUGGCCGUGUCGGCUUUUUCUUGACAUUGAUAACGUUGCUAGGUCUGGAUUUUGCUAUCAUCAGUGUACGUACUCAUUUCUUUUUCAAAUAUAUAUCUGAGGAAAAUAUGAACUUUUACAUCUACGUACAGUAUAAACAAUGCAUGUAUUGCUUAGCGUUUUGCCAUAAUUGGCCUGGAAUCGUGAUAUGGUGGUAGUAUCAUGAAUUCGCUCAGUAUCUAUAAGAAUCUAAACUGUGAUCUUCAUUUACUUCGGUUGAUCCCUCAUCUUAAAUUGCCAACUGUAUCUAUUGAAUUUACUUAUCUCUCCUCAUCUACACUAUUUAAACGCAGUGUAUACUGGUGAUCCUGUUAGGUUUCAAAAAUAUAAUAUACAGCUUCUCAAUCAGUUAAAUAUAUAAAAAUGUCAUUGCUGAUACGUUAGAAAUGGUAAUAGAGAUUCGAGACAAUAUAUGCAAAUGUUGAACAUGUUCCAGUGUGUAGUGUGGUUGUGUAUAAAAGCAACAUUAAGAUUUAUUGGAUUUGUUGUGGACUAUGUACGCAUGUCUGUGUAGCGGGGCGAUUAAUAGUAACUGGCAUGGUAUUUUGUUGUGGUGGAGGUAUGCUCGUAUGAAUUCCAUUAAUUGUGUAUUUGCUAUUACAUAGAUCGCUAUUACUUCUGCGCGUUUGUAUCUUCACAUUAUACAAAUACAGUUGAAGGUGACGAGCGAGACCUACUUAGAUGUGCGUUUUGCAGAUGUACACUCGCAAAUUGGAAGCGAGAUACUGAUCCCUGGCAGGAACAUGCC